rnacentral:rRNA from 1 species
AUUGAACGCUGGCGGCAGGCCUAACACAUGCAAGUCGAGCGGAUGAAGGGAGCUUGCUCCUGGAUUCAGCGGCGGACGGGUGAGUAAUGCCUAGGAAUCUGCCUGGUAGUGGGGGAUAACGUCCGGAAACGGGCGCUAAUACCGCAUACGUCCUGAGGGAGAAAGUGGGGGAUCUUCGGACCUCACGCUAUCAGAUGAGCCUAGGUCGGAUUAGCUAGUUGGUGGGGUAAAGGCCUACCAAGGCGACGAUCCGUAACUGGUCUGAGAGGAUGAUCAGUCACACUGGAACUGAGACACGGUCCAGACUCCUACGGGAGGCAGCAGUGGGGAAUAUUGGACAAUGGGCGAAAGCCUGAUCCAGCCAUGCCGCGUGUGUGAAGAAGGUCUUCGGAUUGUAAAGCACGUUAAGUUGGGAGGAAGGGCAGUAAGUUAAUACCGUGCUGUUUUGACGUUACCAACAGAAUAAGCACCGGCUAACUUCGU